UACACCCAUAGCUCAAAUGGAUAGAGCGUUGGACUUCGAAUCCGAAGGUUGCAGGUUCAAACCCUGCUGGGUGUAA
rnacentral:tRNA from 1 species